ACCGAUGGUGUCGAUCACCGCCGCUGUAGGUAGCACGCUCUUCCCGGCACCCGUAUAUACAGGCUCAAGCCAGAGGAGUCGAUGGGUAGGAGUCAAUGGGUUGGAUCAAUCGGUGGAAAUUAUGUGUAAGUUCUCGGAGCAGUACUCACAGCGGUCCAACACCUUCUUCCACCACUCCAUGGCGAUUGUUGGGUCGCUGGACAUGAAGCAAAGGACGUGACCAUGGAAGCCAUGCCACAAGCUGCUGAGCAUCGGACCAAGUGAUGAGUAAACCAACUAACUUCGCCAAGCACCUAGCCGACCCGAAGGUGUGUGCCAUCAUCGCAAAGAUGAUGGUGAAUGUCAACCAUGGGUUCCUGUGAACGUUGAUGGCUUGCUGUAGCCAUGGUGGUUGUGACGCUUGGCCUCGGCUACAACCUACCUGAUACAUGUGGCCCUGAUGCAGUAGACAUCAAGGGGAGAAGUGGAGUUGAUCCCUGGCCAGGAGGGCGGGAGCCUUGAUGUCAUGGUGCCUUUUAUGAUCUGGGCAGUUUGGUGAUGAGUAAACCAAUCCUCUUCGUCAAGCACCAAGCCAACCCAAAGGUUGGUGCCGUCAUAGCCAAGAUGAUGGUGAAGGUCAACCAUGGGUCCCUCUGAAUGUUGAUGGCUCACCAUAGCUAUGGUGGUUGUCAUUGAACCUUGGCUACAACCUACCUGUGAUGAAUAACUCAAAAGAAGCAAGCCAACCACAAGCUGGUUCCCACCAUAGCAAAGAUCAUGGUGAAGGUCAACGGCAGGUCCUAGUUAACAUCAAGCUC